rnacentral:misc_RNA from 1 species
GAUAAUAGUAGUUUACAGGUACUACUUAUUUCUUUUGCUUUUUAAUUAUUAUUGUGUGAGUAGUGUUAUAGUAAACAAUGUCUUGCUUGAUUGUGCGCACGUUUGGUGGUCAUUCUAAUUGCCAGAUGAGCAUAUUGGUAUAGGAUAUAUUUAGAAAUGCAGAAAACUGCCUGCUAUUGCUUUUGUAGUAGGUUCGAACAAUUGAUGAUUUUCAGGGUCAAGAUUUCAGCAAGAAGGGA